AAUGAACGUUGGCGGCGUGGAUUAGGCAUGCGAGUCGAGCGAGAACCGUAGCAAUACGGGGACAGCGGCGAAAGGGACAGUAACGGGUAGAUUAUCUGCCCUCAGGUUUGGGAUAGCUGCGGGAAACUGCAAGUAAUACCAAAUAAUAUCUCCGGAUCAAAGGUGUGAUUCCGCCUGAGGAUGAGUCUGCCUCCUAUUAGCUAGUUGGGGGGGUAACGGCCUACCAAGGCGUGGAUGGGGAGCGGGUGUGCGAGCACGACCCGCGUCAUUGGGACUGAGACACUGCCCAGACACCUACGGGUGGCUGCAGUCGAGAAUCUUCGGCAAUGGACGCAAGUCUGACCGAGCGACGCCGCGUGUGGGAUGAAGGCCUUCGGGUUGUAAACCACUGUCAGAGGGGAUGAAAUGCAGGUGGGUUCUCCCAUCUGUUUGACAUAGCCUCAGAGGAAGUACGGGCUAAGUUCGUGCCAGCAGCCGCGGUAA
rnacentral:rRNA from 1 species